rnacentral:tRNA from 1 species
UCAAAAUAUAGCUAAAUUAGUAAAGCACCUCCCUUACACCGAGGAAAUACCCGUGCAACUCGAGUUAUAUUGA